GACGUAGGUGGCGAGCGUUAUUCGGAUUUAUUGGGCGUGAAGGGUCCGCAGGGGGUUUGUUAAGUCUGGUGUGAAAGCCCAUGGCUCAACCAUGGAACGGCACUGGAUACUGGCAGACUAGAGUACUGGAGAGGAGAGUGGAAUUCUCGGUGUAGCGGUGGAAUGCGUAGAUAUCGGGAAGAACGCCGAUGGCGAAGGCAGCUCUCUGGACAGUUACUGACACUCAUGGACGAAAGCCGGGGGAGCGAACAGG
rnacentral:rRNA from 1 species